rnacentral:rRNA from 1 species
AUACGGGGGGUGCGAGCGUUAUUCGGAAUUACUGGGCGUAAAGAGCGCGUAGGCGGUCUUUUAAGUCAGGUGUGAAAGCCCGGGGCUCAACCCCGGAAGUGCACUUGAAACUAAGAGACUUGAGUAUGGGAGAGGGAAGUGGAAUUCCUGGUGUAGCGGUGAAAUGCGUAGAUAUCAGGAGGAACAUCAGUGGCGAAGGCGACUUCCUGGACCAAUACUGACGCUGAGGCGCGAAGGCGUGGGAAGCAAACAGGAUUAGAAACCCUAGUAGUCC